UCGGACGUGGUGCGCGGCGCACCCCUGCCCCAAUUUGCCAGACAUUCCGAAAUUGCAAGCAGGUGCUCUGGGUUCGACUCCCAGCGUCCGAG